rnacentral:rRNA from 1 species
UGACCUCAAAUCAGGUAGGACUACCCGCUGAACUUAAGCAUAUCAAUAAGCGGAGGAAAAGAAACUAACAAGGAUUCCCCUAGUAACUGCGAGUGAAGCGGGAAAAGCUCAAAUUUAAAAUCUGGCAGUCUUUGGCUGUCCGAGUUGUAAUCUAGAGAAGUGUUAUCCGCGCUGGACCGUGUACAAGUCUCCUGGAAUGGAGCGUCAUAGAGGGUGAGAAUCCCGUCUUUGACACGGACUACCAGGGCUUUGUGAUGCGCUCUCAAAGAGUCGAGUUGUUUGGGAAUGCAGCUCAAAAUGGGUGGUAAAUUCCAUCUAAAGCUAAAUAUUGGCGAGAGACCGAUAGCGAACAAGUACCGUGAGGGAAAGAUGAAAAGAACUUUGGAAAGAGAGUUAAACAGUACGUGAAAUUGCUGAAAGGGAAACGCUUGAAGUCAGUCGCGUUGUCCAGGGAUCAACCUUGCUUUUGCUUGGUGCACUUUCUGGUUGACGGGUCAGCAUCAAUUUUGACCAUUGGAAAAAGAUUAAGGGAAUGUGGCAUCUUUGGAUGUGUUAUAGCCCUUGGUUGCAUACGAUGGUUGGGAUUGAGGAACUCAGCACGCCGCAAGGCCGGGUUUUUAACCACGUACGUGCUUAGGAUGC